GGGUUGUGAGGUUAAGCGACUAAGCGUACACGGUGGAUGCCCUGGCAGUCAGAGGCGAUGAAGGACGUGCUAAUCUGCGAUAAGCGUCGGUAAGGUGAUAUGAACCGUUAUAACCGGCGAUUUCCGAAUGGGGAAACCCAGUGUGUUUCGACACACUAUCAUUAACUGAAUCCAUAGGUUAAUGAGGCGAACCGGGGGAACUGAAACAUCUAAGUACCCCGAGGAAAAGAAAUCAACCGAGAUUCCCCCAGUAGCGGCGAGCGAACGGGGAGGAGCCCAGAGCCUGAAUCAGUGUGUGUGUUAGUGGAAGCGUCUGGAAAGGCGCGCGAUACAGGGUGACAGCCCCGUACACAAAAAUGCACAUGCUGUGAGCUCGAUGAGUAGGGCGGGACACGUGGUAUCCUGUCUGAAUAUGGGGGGACCAUCCUCCAAGGCUAAAUACUCCUGACUGACCGAUAGUGAACCAGUACCGUGAGGGAAAGGCGAAAAGAACCCCGGCGAGGGGAGUGAAAAAGAACCUGAAACCGUGUACGUACAAGCAGUGGGAGCACGCUUAGGCGUGUGACUGCGUACCUUUUGUAUAAUGGGUCAGCGACUUAUAUUCUGUAGCAAGGUUAACCGAAUAGGGGAGCCGAAGGGAAACCGAGUCUUAACUGGGCGUUAAGUUGCAGGGUAUAGACCCGAAACCCGGUGAUCUAGCCAUGGGCAGGUUGAAGGUUGGGUAACACUAACUGGAGGACCGAACCGACUAAUGUUGAAAAAUUAGCGGAUGACUUGUGGCUGGGGGUGAAAGGCCAAUCAAACCGGGAGAUAGCUGGUUCUCCCCGAAAGCUAUUUAGGUAGCGCCUCGUGAAUUCAUCUCCGGGGGUAGAGCACUGUUUCGGCAAGGGGGUCAUCCCGACUUACCAACCCGAUGCAAACUGCGAAUACCGGAGAAUGUUAUCACGGGAGACACACGGCGGGUGCUAACGUCCGUCGUGAAGAGGGAAACAACCCAGACCGCCAGCUAAGGUCCCAAAGUCAUGGUUAAGUGGGAAACGAUGUGGGAAGGCCCAGACAGCCAGGAUGUUGGCUUAGAAGCAGCCAUCAUUUAAAGAAAGCGUAAUAGCUCACUGGUCGAGUCGGCCUGCGCGGAAGAUGUAACGGGGCUAAACCAUGCACCGAAGCUGCGGCAGCGACGCUUAUGCGUUGUUGGGUAGGGGAGCGUUCUGUAAGCCUGUGAAGGUGUGCUGUGAGGCAUGCUGGAGGUAUCAGAAGUGCGAAUGCUGACAUAAGUAACGAUAAAGCGGGUGAAAAGCCCGCUCGCCGGAAGACCAAGGGUUCCUGUCCAACGUUAAUCGGGGCAGGGUGAGUCGACCCCUAAGGCGAGGCCGAAAGGCGUAGUCGAUGGGAAACAGGUUAAUAUUCCUGUACUUGGUGUUACUGCGAAGGGGGGACGGAGAAGGCUAUGUUGGCCGGGCGACGGUUGUCCCGGUUUAAGCGUGUAGGCUGGUUUUCCAGGCAAAUCCGGAAAAUCAAGGCUGAGGCGUGAUGACGAGGCACUACGGUGCUGAAGCAACAAAUGCCCUGCUUCCAGGAAAAGCCUCUAAGCAUCAGGUAACAUCAAAUCGUACCCCAAACCGACACAGGUGGUCAGGUAGAGAAUACCAAGGCGCUUGAGAGAACUCGGGUGAAGGAACUAGGCAAAAUGGUGCCGUAACUUCGGGAGAAGGCACGCUGAUAUGUAGGUGAAGUCCCUCGCGGAUGGAGCUGAAAUCAGUCGAAGAUACCAGCUGGCUGCAACUGUUUAUUAAAAACACAGCACUGUGCAAACACGAAAGUGGACGUAUACGGUGUGACGCCUGCCCGGUGCCGGAAGGUUAAUUGAUGGGGUCAGCGCAAGCGAAGCUCUUGAUCGAAGCCCCGGUAAACGGCGGCCGUAACUAUAACGGUCCUAAGGUAGCGAAAUUCCUUGUCGGGUAAGUUCCGACCUGCACGAAUGGCGUAAUGAUGGCCAGGCUGUCUCCACCCGAGACUCAGUGAAAUUGAACUCGCUGUGAAGAUGCAGUGUACCCGCGGCAAGACGGAAAGACCCCGUGAACCUUUACUAUAGCUUGACACUGAACAUUGAGCCUUGAUGUGUAGGAUAGGUGGGAGGCUUAGAAGUGUGGACGCCAGUCUGCAUGGAGCCGACCUUGAAAUACCACCCUUUAAUGUUUGAUGUUCUAACGUUGACCCGUAAUCCGGGUUGCGGACAGUGUCUGGUGGGUAGUUUGACUGGGGCGGUCUCCUCCUAAAGAGUAACGGAGGAGCACGAAGGUUGGCUAAUCCUGGUCGGACAUCAGGAGGUUAGUGCAAUGGCAUAAGCCAGCUUGACUGCGAGCGUGACGGCGCGAGCAGGUGCGAAAGCAGGUCAUAGUGAUCCGGUGGUUCUGAAUGGAAGGGCCAUCGCUCAACGGAUAAAAGGUACUCCGGGGAUAACAGGCUGAUACCGCCCAAGAGUUCAUAUCGACGGCGGUGUUUGGCACCUCGAUGUCGGCUCAUCACAUCCUGGGGCUGAAGUAGGUCCCAAGGGUAUGGCUGUUCGCCAUUUAAAGUGGUACGCGAGCUGGGUUUAGAACGUCGUGAGACAGUUCGGUCCCUAUCUGCCGUGGGCGCUGGAGAACUGAGGGGGGCUGCUCCUAGUACGAGAGGACCGGAGUGGACGCAUCACUGGUGUUCGGGUUGUCAUGCCAAUGGCACUGCCCGGUAGCUAAAUGCGGAAGAGAUAAGUGCUGAAAGCAUCUAAGCACGAAACUUGCCCCGAGAUGAGUUCUCCCUGACCCUUUAAGGGUCCUGAAGGAACGUUGAAGACGACGACGUUGAUAGGCCGGGUGUGUAAGCGCAGCGAUGCGUUGAGCUAACCGGUACUAAUGAACCGUGAGGCUUAACCUUACAACGCCGAAGGUGUUU
rnacentral:rRNA from 1 species